rnacentral:lncRNA from 1 species
CUCUCUCUCCCCUCUCCCAAUGUAUCUAUCUAUUAUAAAUCAGCUGAGAGCACGAACUAUUAUAGCAUUCUCUCUCUCUCUCUCUCUCAUCAAGCAGAACAUGUUUCCACUAUGCCCUGAUCAGUGAUCUACCCUGAAUAGAUCCCACCAACUUGGCUACUAACAAGAACAGAGCAUGGGUCAAAGCAUGAGCCGCAAAGUGGGGCGUUGACCUGCCUGGAAGAGCUAUGUGUAGGCCUCGGGGAGCAGGAAAUUCGAAACCGGGAUCUUCCCCAGAAUCAUCCUCCCUGUGAUCGGCAUCGCGUGCCAGUGCAGGACAAGGUCAACCCUCUU